rnacentral:rRNA from 1 species
AGCUCCAAUAGCGUAUAUUAAAGUUGUUGCAGUUAAAAAGCUCGUAGUUGGAUUUUUGGUUUUUUUUGUUGUUUUGUUUUGAACAUGAUAACAUGAGAAAUCUCUUUUGCAUGAUUCUAUACCUGGCAUUAAGUUGUCUGGGUAUAUGAAUGUGCAUCUUUUACUGUGAAAAAAUUAGAGUGUUUAAAGCAGGCGUUGUGUUUUGAAUACAUUAGCAUGGAAUAAUAAGAUACGACUUUGGUGGUCUAUUUUGUUGGUUUGCACACCAGAGUAAUGAUUAAUAGGGACAGUUGGGGGUAUUCAUAUUUGAGCGUCAGAGGUGAAAUUCUUGGAUCGCUGAAAGAUGAGCUUUGGCGAAAGCAUUUACCAUGGAUGUUUUCA